GGCGGGAUGGUGGAAUGGCAGACACGGGUGCCUUAAAAGCACCUGCCCGAUUGGGCGUGAGGGUUCGAGCCCCUCUCCCGCUA
rnacentral:tRNA from 2 species